rnacentral:rRNA from 1 species
ACCAAAUUCUCAACGAUGGAUAUCUUGGUUCCCAUAACGAUGAAGAACGCAGCGAAGUGCGAUAAGCAAUGCGAAUUGCAGAACCGUGAGUCAUCAGAUUUUUGAACGCAACUGGCGCCGGCUGGCUCUCCAGCCGGCAUGCUUGUUUCAGUGU